CUCAUCGAGCUGCACAUACUCCGGCCACUCAGACUGGUGGAGUUCCUGUAGUCACCCUGACGACCAGUCUUUUGAUUUAAACCUGUCAUAAAAGAAGCUACGCUCUACGUCAAGAUGCUGCUCCUGCUCAAGAGUCCAGCGCGGACGUGGCUGACAUGGAGUUUUUAGUUUCUUCACCGUCGCCUAGAGACUCUCUCUCUGGCUGUGCUGCUGGGCCUUCUCACAAAUCACCCUGCAAAAGCCGCAGCAUCGGCAACAAGAAGGUG